GGUCAUGAGCGCCAGCGUCAAGCCCCGGCUCGCUGGCCGGCAACCCUCCUCCGCGGUGGGGUGCCCCGGGUGAGGACCAGGCGAGCGACAUCCGUCGCUCGCAAGCGCGGGAG
rnacentral:ncRNA from 2 species